ensembl:ncRNA Y52B11B.2 ncRNA
UAGUUUGCAGGUUGUAGUUUGUAGUUUGUAGUUUGUAGUUUGUAGUUUGUAGUUUGUAGUUUGUAGUUUGUAGUUUAU